rnacentral:rRNA from 1 species
UCGUAACAAGGUUUCCGUAGGUGAACCUGCGGAANGAUCAUUACCUAGAGUUUGUGGACUUCGGUCUGCUACCUCUUACCCAUGUCUUUUGAGUACCUUCGUUUCCUCGGCGGGUCCGCCCGCCGGUUGGACAACAUUCAAACCCUUUGCAGUUGCAAUCAGCGUCUGAAAAAACUUAAUAGUUGCAACUUUCAACAACGGAUCUCUUGGUUCUGGCAUCGAUGAAGAACGCAGCGAAAUGCGAUAAGUAGUGUGAAUUGCAGAAUUCAGUGAAUCAUCGAAUCUUUGAACGCACAUUGCGCCCCUUGGUAUUCCAUGGGGCAUGCCUGUUCGAGCGUCAUUUGUACCUUCAAGCUCUGCUUGGUGUUGGGUGUUUUGUCUCGCCUCCGCGCGCAGACUCGCCUUAAAACAAUUGGCAGCCGGCGUAUUGAUUUCGGAGCGCAGUACAUCUCGCGCUUUGCACUCAUAACGACGACGUCCAAAAGUACAUUUUUACACUCUUGACCUCGGAUCAGGUAGGGAUACCCGCUGAACUUAAGCAUAUCA